GGCAAGAUGGCCGAGCGGUCUAAGGCGCUGUGUUCAGGUUACAAUCGCAAGAUUACCAAAAUCGCAGUCCGAAAGGGCGUGGGUUCGAAUCCCACUCUUGUCA
rnacentral:tRNA from 1 species